rnacentral:lncRNA from 1 species
GUUUCUUUUCUAUUUAACAGAUAUGCUUUGAUCUUGAAGAUUUCUAUUAACUGCUUGACUGUCCUGGAUUUCAAGUCUGCCACUGUGCUUGACUGUCCUGGCUUGGCUUAUAUUCAAAAUUCUAUUUAACAGCCUGGGGACUAUUCUGAUGCUUUUUUAUUUUUAGUUUAUAGGUUGGCCUUCCUUGUCUUCUGCAGGUUCUGGAUAGAAUUUUGAAUUCCAGCAAAUGCUACCAGGAAUUCUGCCGCAUCACCAAGCCUUC